rnacentral:lncRNA from 1 species
CUUCCUUCCAUCCCUCCUCUUUGAUUACUUUUGGACAGUCUUUCCAUGCAGGUCAGGCUGGCCUUGAACAGUCUUGGGGGGCAGGGGGUAGUCUCCAAGGGCUAGGAUUACAGUCAUGCUACCACACCCAGUUCUACGUGUUUAUCUCAGAGUCGUCUGCAGCUCUGCUAACAUGACACCACUACAGAGUCGUCCGCUGCGUGUGAAGUGGGACUCUGCACUGUGUGCAAGAACCUGGAUUGUGAGCAUCAGGACUCAGGGCAGAAGAGAAUUGCAAGUAAAGAGUGAGAUGCCAGAAACCAUCCGGCCACUUUCAUCCAAUCACUUCCCACCACUUGCUCAUCGAGGUGGUGUGUGCUCCCAGACAGCCACCUGCUCAACUUUCCACUGCGUGGAAUCCCAGCUCCUUAAUCAAAACGAAACAAAAGCUUUUACAACAACAUCCAAGGAAAUUUGCCACCUGACAUCAAGGUUCUAAGCAGGCAUAGGAGUGAAGACACUCUUGGCUGUGCAAGUGAUACCCAGGCCAGGCUGCCCCAGCUUCUGCUGUGCCAAAUCUCAGGUGCAGUUGGAACAGGCAAAAGGCUCUGGAAUCUGAGAGAUAAAAGAGCAGAUGCAGCAACAGCAGAAGCCGGUUGAUGAAACUGAAGACCAUUCUCUCCCUACAAAUAUGAACAGCAAAUUCUGCAAAUGGAGGCUUGUGAAUGUCAGAGAACACCCCAGCUAAGACCUCCAGUGAGGUCUAUAUUUACAGCUGCUUGGGAGGAGGAGGGGAAGAGGAUGGUAAGUUCAAGGCCAACUUAUGCUACCUAGUAAGUUCAAGGCUAACCUGAACUCAGCUAGCUAGGACAACUCAGCAAGAUUAUAUCACAAUUAAAAAAAAUGGAACGGACAUGGAUAUGGUUCUAUGGACAAUAGUGUUAAUGCACAAGACUCUGGAUUCAAUCUCUAGAACUGAAGAAAAAAAAAAAAGGAAAAAACAAACAGAAAAAAAAAAAACCCAAACAGAAACCCGUGCUUUUGACCUGGAUUUAAAAUAGGCAUAAGUGUGAUACUUCAAACAAAAUACAGUCAUUAUAUAACAUAUAUUUAUGAAAAUCACUGUACCAUAACAAAAGUAAACAAUAAAAACCACAGGCUUGGGGUGGGGGGAAACGGG